rnacentral:rRNA from 1 species
AUGAAGAAGAGGAAAAGAGGGAAGGUUGUGAGGUCGGGAUGUCCGGCCCACCUUUACAUCACCCACACGGAUGCGUGGUGGAGAGUCAAACGCUUCAACGACGACCACAACCACCCUCUAAUAAGAAAGCCGUCCUUGACAAAGUUACUAUCAUCACAUAGGAACAUUCCAAAAGAUGAGCAGGACUUCUUGAAGAUAUUGCACGGAUGCAACAUAGAGACAGCCAGACAGAUGCAACUAAUGGAAUGGUUCUACGGAAAUCCUAAAGAUGUACCAUACACAACAAAGGACAUCGCAAACUAG